rnacentral:rRNA from 1 species
UACGUAGGGAGCAAGCGUUGUUCGGAUUUACUGGGCGUAAAGGGCGCGUAGGCGGCGCGGUAAGUCACUUGUGAAAUCUCUGAGCUUAACUCAGAACGGCCAAGUGAUACUGCAGUGCUAGAGUGCAGAAGGGGCAAUCGGAAUUCUUGGUGUAGCGGUGAAAUGCGUAGAUAUCAAGAGGAACACCUGAGGUGAAGACGGGUUGCUGGGCUGACACUGACGCUGAGGCGCGAAAGCAUGGGGAGCGAACAGG